rnacentral:lncRNA from 1 species
CGACUGUAAAGUGAAGCCAUUAUUUUUCAUACAGAGGAAUAAAGAAAUACAGCAGCUACAGCACAGAAAUAACCUUUGGUAUGAAUAACUGCAGUGUUUUGCUUUCCAUCUCCGUUAUGAAGAAUUUUAUUUUAAAACUGGAAGAAAAAGGAAGAAAGAGGCAGCCCUCUUUGGGUUUGAGACUCAAGGAUGCCCAAAAGGCACUUAAGGUCUAAAUUGCCAAAGGAUGUGCAAAUGCCUUAAUGGCGGCAGCUUUGACACCUAGACUGGCACCUGUUACUGCCCUCCUGGCUUCACUGGCGCUGACUCCCGUCGAAUUUGUCCUGAGGAUCACUAUGGGCAGGACUGUGACCAACGGUGUCCCUGUGGCUCAGGACAGCAUGACCCAGUGACUGGCGGGUGCCAGUGUCCACCUAGCCAGAUGGGAGCCAGGUGUCAGCAAGUGUAGGAUGUCCCCAAACAAUGUAUGGCCCAAAUUGUGAGCUAAAAUGUACCUGUAAAAAUGGUGGACUUUGCAGUCCUGUAGAUGGAAGAAGUACCUGUGGUCUUGGAUAGACAGGAAAUUACCGUGAAAAAGGUAAGUUGAUUAUCACAUUCUUUUAUUCAAUAAAAUUCUGGGGCAUACUUCCA